GGGGGGGGGGGGGGCUAAUACAUGCAAGUCGAGCGGACAGAUGGGAGCUUGCUCCCUGAUGUUAGCGGCGGACGGGUGAGUAACACGUGGGUAACCUGCCUGUAAGACUGGGAUAACUCCGGGAAACCGGGGCUAAUACCGGAUGCUUGUUUGAACCGCAUGGUUCAAACAUAAAAGGUGGCUUCGGCUACCACUUACAGAUGGACCCGCGGCGCAUUAGCUAGUUGGUGAGGUAAUGGCUCACCAAGGCGACGAUGCGUAGCCGACCUGAGAGGGUGAUCGGCCACACUGGGACUGAGACACGGCCCAGACUCCUACGGGAGGCAGCAGUAGGGAAUCUUCCGCAAUGGACGAAAGUCUGACGGAGCAACGCCGCGUGAGUGAUGAAGGUUUUCGGAUCGUAAAGCUCUGUUGUUAGGGAAGAACAAGUACCGUUCGAAUAGGGCGGUACCUUGACGGUACCUAACCAGAAAGCCACGGCUAACUACGUGCCAGCAGCCGCGGUAAUACGUAGGUGGCAAGCGUUGUCCGGAAUUAUUGGGCGUAAAGGGCUCGCAGGCGGUUUCUUAAGUCUGAUGUGAAAGCCCCCGGCUCAACCGGGGAGGGUCAUUGGAAACUGGGGAACUUGAGUGCAGAAGAGGAGAGUGGAAUUCCACGUGUAGCGGUGAAAUGCGUAGAGAUGUGGAGGAACACCAGUGGCGAAGGCGACUCUCUGGUCUGUAACUGACGCUGAGGAGCGAAAGCGUGGGGAGCGAACAGGAUUAGAUACCCUGGUAGUCCACGCCGUAAACGAUGAGUGCUAAGUGUUAGGGGGUUUCCGCCCCUUAGUGCUGCAGCUAACGCAUUAAGCACUCCGCCUGGGGAGUACGGUCGCAAGACUGAAACUCAAAGGAAUUGACGGGGGCCCGCACAAGCGGUGGAGCAUGUGGUUUAAUUCGAAGCAACGCGAAGAACCUUACCAGGUCUUGACAUCCUCUGACAAUCCUAGAGAUAGGACGUCCCCUUCGGGGGCAGAGUGACAGGUGGUGCAUGGUUGUCGUCAGCUCCUGUCAUGAGAUGUUGGGUUAAGUCCCGCAACCAACGCAACCCUUGAUCUUAGUUGCCAGCAUUCAGUUGGGCACUCUAAGGUGACUGCCGGUGACAAACCCGAAGAAAGGUGGGGAU
rnacentral:rRNA from 2 species